rnacentral:rRNA from 1 species
UACAGAGGUCCCAAGCGUUGUUCGGAUUCAUUGGGCGUAAAGGGUGCGUAGGUGGCGUCGUAAGUCGGGUGUGAAAUUUUGGAGCUCAACUCCGAAACUGCAUUCGAUACUGCGGUGCUUGAGGACUGGAGAGGAGACUGGAAUUUACGGUGUAGCAGUGAAAUGCGUAGAGAUCGUAAGGAAGACCAGUGGCGAAGGCGGGUCUCUGGACAGUUCCUGACACUGAGGCACGAAGGCCAGGGGAGCAAACGGG